UGGCCGUACGCGCACGCAGGCGGUUUGUUAAGUCAGAUGUGAAAUCCCCGGGCUCAACCUGGGAACUGCAUCUGAUACUGGCAAGCUUGAGUCUCGUAGAGGGGGGUAGAAUUCCAGGUGUAGCGGUGAAAUGCGUAGAGAUCUGGAGGAAUACCGGUGGCGAAGGCGGCCCCCUGGACGAAGACUGACGCUCAGGUGCGAAAGCGUGGGGAGCAAACAGGAUUAGAUACCC
rnacentral:rRNA from 1 species